GACGAACGCUGGCGGCGUGCUUAACACAUGCAAGUCGAACGGAAAGGCCCUGCUUUUGUGGUGUGCUCGAGUGGCGAACGGGUGAGUAACACGUGAGUAACCUGCCCUUGACUUUGGGAUAACUUCAGGAAACUGGGGCUAAUACCGGAUAGGAGCUCCUGCUGCAUUGUGGGGGUUGGAAAGUUUCGGCGGUUGGGGAUGGACUCGCGGUUUAUCAGCUUGUUGGUGGGGUAGUGGCUUACCAAGGCUUUGACGGGUAGCCGGCCUGAGAGGGUGACCGGCCACAUUGGGACUGAGAUACGGCCCAGACUCCUACGGGAGGCAGCAGUGGGGAAUAUUGCACAAUGGGCGGAAGCCUGAUGCAGAAACGCCGCGUGCGGGAUGACGGCCUUCGGGUUGUAAACCGCUUUCGCCUGUGACGAAGCGUGAGUGACGGUAAUGGGUAAAGAAGCACCGGCUAACUACGUG
rnacentral:rRNA from 1 species